AGAAUCAACGCUGGCGGCGUGCCUAACACAUGCAAGUCGAACGAGAAAGGGGCUUCGGCCCUGAGUACAGUGGCGCACGGGUGAGUAACACGUGACUGACCUACCCUUGAGUGGGGGAUAACUUCGGGAAACCGAGGCUAAUACCGCAUAAUACCUACGGGUCAAAGGAGUAAUUCGCUUAAGGAGGGGGUCGCGGCAGAUUAGUUAGUUGGCGGGGUAAUGGCCCACCAAGACAGUGAUCUGUAU
rnacentral:rRNA from 1 species